GCCAAGUUUGGGGGUGCCUGGGGUAGAGCAUGAGACUCCUAAUCUCAGGGUGGUGGGUUCGAGCCCCACGUUGGGCA